AUUGAACGCUGGCGGCAGGCCUAACACAUGCAAGUCGAGCGGGGCGGCGGACGGGUAAGUAAUGCCUAGGAAUCUGCCUGGUAGUGGGGGAUACCGACCGGAAACGGUCGCUAAUACCGCAUACUCUCAGCUGAGCCUAGGUCGGAUUAGCUAGUUGGUGGGGUAAAGGCCUACCAAGGGGACGAACCGUACCUGGUCUGAGAGGAUGAUCAGUCACACUGUAACUGAGACACGGUCCAGACUCCUACGGGAGGCAGCAGUGGGGAAUAUUGGACAAUGGGCGAAAGCCUGAUCCAGCCAUGCCGCGUGUGUGAAGAAGGUCUUCGGAUUGUAAAGCACUUUAAGUUGGGAGGCGUUACCAACAGAAUAAGCACCGGCUAACUUCGUGCCAGCAGCCGCGGUAAUUC
rnacentral:rRNA from 1 species